CUACGUAGGUGACAAGCGUUAUCCGGAUUUACUGGGCGUAAAGGGCGUGUAGGCGGUCUUGCAAGUCAGAAGUGAAAUUCCUGAGCUCAACUCGGGCGCUGCUUCUGAAACUGCAGGACUUGAGUGCUGGAGGGGAUAGCGGAAUUCCUAGUGGAGCGGUAAAAUGCGCAGAUAUUAGGAAGAACACCGGUGGCGAAGGCGGCUAGCUGGACAGUAACUGACGCUGAGGCGCGAAAGCGUGGGGAGCAAACAGGAUUAGAUACCCUGGUAGUCCACGCUGUAAACGAUGAAUACUAGGUGUAGGGGGUAUCGACUCCCUCUGUGCCGCAGUUAACACAAUAAGUAUUCCGCCUGGGGAGUACGGCCGCAAGGUUGAAACUCAAAUGAAUUGACGGGG
rnacentral:rRNA from 1 species